rnacentral:rRNA from 1 species
CCUACGGGGGGCUGCAGUGGGGGAUAUUGCACAAUGGGGGAAACCCUGAUGCAGCGACGCCGCGUGGGCGAAGAAGUAUUUCGGUAUGUAAAGCCCUAUCAGCAGGGAAGAAGAAAUGACGGUAUCUGAGUAAGUAGCACCGGCUAAAUACGUGCCAGCAGCCGCGGUAAUACGGAUGGGGCAAGCGUUAUCCGGAUUUACUGGGUGUAAAGGGAGCGCAGGCGGCACGGCAAGCCUGAUGUGAAAGCCCGCGGCCCAACCGGGGGACUGCAUUGGGAACUACCGGGCUGGAGUGCCGGAGAGGUAGGCGGAAUUCCUGGUGUAGCGGUGAAAUGCGUAGAUAUUAGGAGGAACACCAGUGGCGAAGGCGGCCUGCUGGACGGUGACUGACGCUGAGGCUCGAAAGCGUGGGGAGCAAACAGGAUUAGAUACCCGUGUAGUC